UAGAAGGUAGUAUAAAAGGAAAAACAAAGAACUUUGAAUUCUUAAAUGUAAGUUCAACCCUUACCCCUCUAA
rnacentral:tRNA from 1 species